CUAAUAGAAGUAUUUAGAGCUAUAAUUUUCCCUCAGCAACUACUUUCUCUAAACCUUCUGACAUUUGUAAUAAACUUUUUCCCCCCUGCCCAGCACCAGGCUGCAAGAUACAAACUCACCUCCCUCUCUCUUCUUUUCUUCCAGUCCAGGGGAGCAGAAAGGGGGAGAAGCAAUGACACAAGGAGAGUGCCACAGGCCUGUGUCUGAUUUCUAGCUUUAUCUCGAGUAGCUUCUAGGUAAGAGCAAAUUGCUACUGAGAAGUUUAGAAAAUACAGAUGAGCAGAUUUAAAUUCCAUUCAGAUACUCCUAACCAGGUGUGCUUUAUGCACAAUAGCUCAGAGGCCUGUCUGCUGUUGCAGAGGUUGCGGAGUGCAGGAUUAUUGAGUUAUUCAGUUUUGUGAGUCUCCUCCUGAUGCGUCUUUUUUGGCUAAAUCACAAUCUGACCAACAUGAAGCAUCUGCUAGUUCUCCCAGCCUCUCGACCAAACAGCAUCUAAUAUGUACCACAUGAACCUGGGCCUCUGCGGAGGUCAUUAGAGGAGGCUGAGCUCACUGCAGCUCUGAUAGCCUGCAGCUUGAAAUCUGAGUGUCUUUAUUACUCAGGGGUGAACACCAGCCCAUCAAUGGAGAAGGGAACAGAACCUGGAUAUCCUGGGGCCUAAUCUCAUUCCUGUGCAGUGGUUGCUUGGUUUAUUCCCUGGGUGUGACUAAUUAAAAUUCUCCUGCUGUGAUUUUCUUUUCUAGGAGGCUGAGUCUGAAUCUCAACUAUAAUUCUGACAUCUUGCAGUGAUUGCGCACUCAAAAAUGCUCUAUUUAAAUUAUUCAGGCAACUAUAAACUUCGAGUGGUUGCUUGUUCCUGCAGAAGCAGAAAUUUAUCUUUCUAAAAAAAGAAGUAACAAAUAAUUCCUUUAUUUUACAUUUUUGGUUAAAUAUUUAUAUUAGAGCUAUUUUUUGCCAUCAUAUUACUGAGAAAGUCUUCUAAUACAGCUUCUUUUGUUAGCAAACUUAUAUGUGCAUCCUACUCCCUUGACCUUACUAUAUUGUGCCUUACAGGUUUUUUUUUUAAAUAUAAAUAAGCAUUUGUUUUAGUCCCUGAGACAUUCUAAGAUAAUUAAGUGACAAAAUUUUAAAAAAUGGUCCAAUUAGUUGGUUCACACAAUAAACACUGAAUAAGCUAUUAGCCUAAAUUUUCCAUCUUCCAACUGGUGACUAUUGCAGCAUAUAGACAAAACUUAAGCUUCCUGAUUUACCAACUUAUGGUAUUCAUUCAACAAAACUGAGUGCCUGCUAGGCUAUUAUUAGCCCUGGGACAUUGUUUCACACAAACGCGAAGUCACUGCUUUCAUGGACACCUGACCAGUAGUAGAUAAGUAAACAAGCAAAUUAAAGAAGAAAAUAUCAAUUAAUGGUAAGUGCUUCUGGGUAACUGAAGUAAUGGGAUGCAGUGGAGAGUUCCUGGUUGGCUAGUUUAGGAAUCCAGCCAUGUGAAGACCUGGACCUGUAGGAGAAUUCCAGAUGAGUGAACAGGUACAGCAAUGUUCUUGAGGCAGGAAUGCAUGUGGCUGAACCAAGUCCAGUGGCUCAUUCACUCAUACACUCAACCAAAGAGUGCAGUCAAGGGAUCCCAGCUUCUGUCCUGGAGUCUGAUUUAUCUACAAAUUUAAGGAAGUCCCUCUUAGUUCUAACUGUCAGCCUUUAGCCCUCAAACGCCUAGGGUCAUACUCACCCACUUCUCCAUCUGUGGUUCUUUUGGCUCCUCAGUGGGAAAUCUCUACAUAAUCAGGGCUUGCUUGGCGCAGCCACUAUGCAUCUCCCUCCUUGCUUUUCCAAGAAGGUCUCUGUUUACACACUUCAAUGCCUGGCACCCGUUGGUUGUCAGGUUCAUUCACUGGACCCUCAGCCAAGCUUCUCCAUUUAGCUUUCUCUCUCUUUCUUCACAAAUCUAUUACUGCCAGUUCCAUUCCAUUUACUUUGACAUGGAUUGUGCUAAAAUACUGAGGAUAGAAAAGAUUAAAAGCACAGAGCUUCAGAGUUGAAGGAGAAGUCGGCAUCGUCCUUUGUGAGACAUGUUGUGGUUUCUGUGGCCAAGGCCCCUGAUGCUUUGCUCUAAAGAGCCUGGACAGGGAAGGAUCUGGAAGCUGUUGAGAUUCUCAGUAUUUCCAGCCUAAUUCUUUUCUAAGUGUUUCAAGUUGUGCCAUACUCUAGUUGCUCACUGCCUAGACUAUGUUUCUCAAAGGUUUAUAAUAAAGCACCAAGCCUUUUCUGAAAAUUCCUGGGAAGCUUCUAGAUUUGUUCCUUGGUCAGCACAGCACCUAAGGUUUCUUCCUUUGUCUUGACUAUGUGGCUUUUGAAGGUUUCUUCUCUGGAAAACUUGAUGAAAAGGAGAUGUGAUUAUUAGCCACAGACAUUUUACAGGCAAGCAGGCCUUUGUUUUUAAAAUAUCUCUGGAAUCCAUCCACUUCAUUCCCUUAACCACUACUCCAGUCUGCCAUCUCCUCUCACAAGGACUAUAGCACUAGACUCAAAACUGUUCUCCUUUCAUUCAAUCUAUUCUCCACUCAGCAACCAGAGUGUCUGCUUCAAAAUGCUAGUCUGAUUUUGCCCUUUCCAUACUUAAAACCUUCUAGUGGUGUGCCUUUGCUCUAAGAAAAAGAUAAAAUGGAUAAAUUCCUCCAUGUUCUGGCCUCGUCAACUCCAUGGUCACCCUUCCAGACCUGUUUCCUUGCUGUGCCAUCUUGGGCAAUUUACUCGACAUCUCUGGGCUAUAUAGUUCCUUUCCCUAUAAAAUAAAGAGAACAGCACCUAUUGGCAAUUGGGGUCAUGUGUGCAAAAGGUCGGCAUAUGUGUGGGAGGCAUAGGCAAAGAGGAGACAAUUAUGGUAACUCCAUGUGGCUCCAUGUGGUUCCUCAUCUCAGCAGAUUCAGAGCUAAGCAGUCAUUUCUCUCGGGGCCAAGGACCCAUUUCAUUUGGAAUAGCUCUGGCCCAUAGGUUCUGACCCUACCAGGUGAAUCCUCAGGGCUUCAGAGUUUCCAAAAUGGAGGAGGUGGUCCAGGCUGGAAAGAUGAUGGAGGAGAGAGGGCUGCACCUGGUUAUAGUCAUGGUACAUCAGCCCACUGCUUAGCGGCCUUGCUCUCCUUGGGUCUACUGCCUCCAGAUUGCCAGAGAGGGCCCCCCAAGUGCAGUCCUUGGCCUUCAGGGUAAGCAGUCAUCUUGGUACUGCAAAGUCAUUUAUUAUUUACACCAUGUCAAAUAGCCUUGAAAAGUUGAUUAAUUGCCACUCAAGUUUCAAGGAUGGUAGUCUAUACUACUUUUCAAGGAAGUCUAUACUACUUUUUUGGUCCUAGGUGGACAAAUUUCCUCUAGCAUUUUAUGGCCUCCUAGUUUACCCAUUUCAGCUUAUUUCUUGAGUUGGAGCUAAUGAACUCUAGCUUAAAAUAGCAGUGGGUGGCCAGUGUUCUGGUGAGGCCUGAUCUGCCAAAGGAGAGCGCCCAUAAGCAGCCAGUCCUAAAGCUGGUAGGGACUCUGCAGGAGGUAGAAGUCAUGGUUGUAGUACUGUGUAGAUACUUACUCAUGAGAGCCAGGUGCAGAAUUUCACUAGGACACCGUCACAUCCUCAUGCAUUAAGUGCAAGAUCCUGUUUGCCCUUUUUUUUUUAAUUCAAAUUUAUUUAACAUAUAGUGUUAUAUUAGUUCCAGGUAUAUAGGAUGGUGAUUUAACAACUCUAUGCAUUACUCAGUGUUCAUCAUGAUAAAUGUACUCUUAA
rnacentral:lncRNA from 1 species